ACUAACUGGAGGACCGAACCGACUAAUGUUGAAAAAUUAGCGGAUGACCUGUGGCUGGGGGUGAAAGGCCAAUCAAACCGGGAGAUAGCUGGUUCUCCCCGAAAGCUAUUUAGGUAGCGCCUCGUGAAUUCAUCUCCGGGGGUAGAGCACUGUUUCGGCUAGGGGGCCAUCCCGGCUUACCAACCCGAUGCAAACUGCGAAUACCGGAGAAUGUUAUCACGGGAGACACACGGCGGGUGCUAACGUCCGUCGUGAAGAGGGAAACAACCCAGACCGCCAGCUAAGGUCCCAAAGUCAUGGUUAAGUGGGAAACGAUGUGGGAAGGCCCAGACAGCCAGGAUGUUGGCUUAGAAGCAGCCAUCAUUUAAAGAAAGCGUAAUAGCUCACUGGUCGAGUCGGCCUGCGCGGAAGAUGUAACGGGGCUAAACCAUGCACCGAAGCUGCGGCAGCGACACUGUGUGUUGUUGGGUAGGGGAGCGUUCUGUAAGCCUGUGAAGGUGUGUCGUGAGGCAUGCUGGAGGUAUCAGAAGUGCGAAUGCUGACAUAAGUAACGAUAAAGCGGGUGAAAAGCCCGCUCGCCGGAAGACCAAGGGUUCCUGUCCAACGUUAAUCGGGGCAGGGUGAGUCGACCCCUAAGGCGAGGCCGAAAGGCGUAGUCGAUGGGAAACGGGUUAAUAUUCCCGUACUUGGUGUUACUGCGAAGGGGGGACGGAGAAGGCUAUGUUGGCCGGGCGACGGUUGUCCCGGUUUAAGCGUGUAGGUGUGUGUUCCAGGUAAAUCCGGUUCACUUUAACACUGAGGCGUGACGACGAGGCACUACGGUGCUGAAGCAACAAAUGCCCUGCUUCCAGGAAAAGCCUCUAAGCAUCAGGUAACAUCAAAUCGUACCCCAAACCGACACAGGUGGUCAGGUAGAGAAUACCAAGGCGCUUGAGAGAACUCGGGUGAAGGAACUAGGCAAAAUGGUGCCGUAACUUCGGGAGAAGGCACGCUGACACGUAGGUGAAGUGAUUUACUCAUGGAGCUGAAGUCAGUCGAAGAUACCAGCUGGCUGCAACUGUUUAUUAAAAACACAGCACUGUGCAAACACGAAAGUGGACGUAUACGGUGUGACGCCUGCCCGGUGCCGGAAGGUUAAUUGAUGGGGUCAGCGCAAGCGAAGCUCCUGAUCGAAGCCCCGGUAAACGGCGGCCGUAACUAUAACGGUCCUAAGGUAGCGAAAUUCCUUGUCGGGUAAGUUCCGACCUGCACGAAUGGCGUAAUGAUGGCCAGGCUGUCUCCACCCGAGACUCAGUGAAAUUGAACUCGCUGUGAAGAUGCAGUGUACCCGCGGCAAGACGGAAAGACCCCGUGAACCUUUACUAUAGCUUGACACUGAACAUUGAGCCUUGAUGUGUAGGAUAGGUGGGAGGCUUUGAAGUGUGGACGCCAGUCUGCAUGGAGCCGACCUUGAAAUACCACCCUUUAAUGUUUGAUGUUCUAACGUGGACCCGUUACCCGGGUUGCGGACAGUGUCUGGUGGGUAGUUUGACUGGGGCGGUCUCCUCCUAAAGAGUAACGGAGGAGCACGAAGGUUGGCUAAUCCUGGUCGGACAUCAGGAGGUUAGUGCAAUGGCAUAAGCCAGCUUGACUGCGAGCGUGACGGCGCGAGCAGGUGCGAAAGCAGGUCAUAGUGAUCCGGUGGUUCUGAAUGGAAGGGCCAUCGCUCAACGGAUAAAAGGUACUCCGGGGAUAACAGGCUGAUACCGCCCAAGAGUUCAUAUCGACGGCGGUGUUUGGCACCUCGAUGUCGGCUCAUCACAUCCUGGGGCUGAAGUAGGUCCCAAGGGUAUGGCUGUUCGCCAUUUAAAGUGGUACGCGAGCUGGGUUUAGAACGUCGUGAGACAGUUCGGUCCCUAUCUGCCGUGGGCGCUGGAGAACUGAGGGGGGCUGCUCCUAGUACGAGAGGACCGGAGUGGACGCAUCACUGGUGUUCGGGUUGUCAUGCCAAUGGCACUGCCCGGUAGCUAAAUGCGGAAGAGAUAAGUGCUGAAAGCAUCUAAGCACGAAACUUGCCCCGA
rnacentral:rRNA from 3 species